AGAUGUGAGGGUGGUCAGGCUGCAACCUCUGUCACCCCAUUGAUCACCAGGAUUGAUUCAGCUGAUCUGGCUGGCUAGGCAGGUGUCCCUUUCCUCCUCACCACACCAUGUACAUCCCUCCCAAAGCUGCGUAUUUGGCCAAAGAGGACGGCCCACCCUGAAUAGAGAUGGAUGGUUUUCAGUCAGGGGUAUAUGAUUAACUGCGCUCCCUUGCUAGAACCUCCAAACAAGUUCUCAAAUAUGGUGGGGGCUGAGAGCUUGAACCCAGGUCCUUGCGCAUAGUGAUAUAUCGACUCUGCUGU
ensembl:misc_RNA 7SK 7SK RNA